CCUAAUAUCUAAUUUAAAGCUACCCUCUGUUAGCUUAAAGCCACUCCCCUUUAUUCUAUCACUCCUUGCAUUUCUAAAGUGCCCCUUUCCAUCUCUCUUUUCAGUACUGGAAGGUGCUACAAGGUCCCACCAGAGCCUUCUCUUCUCCAGGCUGAACAAUCCCAGUUGCCUCAGACUGUCUUCACAGGAGAAACAUUCCAGCCCUCUGUUCAACUCUGGAUUUCUCUGGACUGGCUCCAACAGGCCUUUAACUAAAAUCUUGAACAGAAGCAUGCUCUAGACAGACUUAUGCAAUACUGGAAUGACUUCCCAGACUGAGAGCUACAGUUAAGAAGGGUACAGUGUUUCGCCACUGGAUUGCCAUUUCACAUGGGCCAUAUAUAUAAAUUACUCCAGACACAAAUUCAGAACAAUACCAGAUUUGUUCAGGAUCAUGUCUUGCAUAAAAAGACUUAGAGAAGAAAUUAUGUCAUCCCUUAUCUCAAGAAAACACAGAUGAUUCAAGCCAAAAGGCCUUUGAACUCCUCCAUGUAAACUUCAGUUUGCCCUACUGCAACAUUUUGCAUAUGAGGAAUACCCAUGAGGAUCACAGUUUGUAAAGGCUGUCUGCUGUUCAGCACACAAGGGCAAAAUGAAGGAUUUCUGUAACUGGAAGAAUCAAUGUUGCUGCGAUUUGAGCUAAGAAUUGGCUCAAACCGCAAUAGUAUGAAGGAGUAGGCACAAAGAGGAAAUUCAAAUAUGUAUGCAAGCAUAUAGUCCAACCAGCCAGACAAAUCUAUUGCUACAUGCUCUCCCACAUGUGGAAGACCUCUAGGGUACGCCGAGCACAGCAUUGCUGCAGAGUUGAGGAUGGUGAUUUUCCCACUCUGCUCUGCGCUGGUACUGGAGACUGACCUUGAGCACCAUCUGUAGCUUUGGGUGCCUCAGUAAGAAGGAGGACAUAAAGCUAAUGAAGAGUGUCCACGGGAGGGCAAAGAAGGUGGUGAAGGGCCUUGAGGGCAGACUGAAGAGCAAGACAGCUUGGUGUGUUCAGCCUGGAGCAAAGCAAUGGGGUGCCUCAUCACGGUCUACAGCUUCCUCACGAGGACCAGAGCAAGCAGGCCCUGAUUUCUCUCUGGUGAAUACUGAUACAACCAAAGGGAGCUGCAUGAGGCAGUGUUGGGGUGCUUUGGUUGGAUAUUAGUAAAUUUUUAGUAAAGUUUUUUUCCCCUGAAGGAUGGCUGGGCACUGGAACAGGCUCCUCAGGGAAGCGGUCACAGCACCAAGCCUGUCACAGUUCAAGGAGCACUUAAAAAUGUUCUUAGGCACAUGCUGACUGUGUGAUCCUUGGGAUGUUCUGUGCAGGGCUAGGAGUUGGACUCAAUGAUUCUUGGAGGUCCUUUCCAACUCAAGAUAUUCUAUGACUCUAAGACUCUAUGACAUUAUACUCUUCUAAUAUAAUUUCAUAAUAAUAAAUCAUAGUAAAUAUUAAUAGUAUCCUUGUA